GAUCAUGGCUCAGGAUGAACGCUAGCUACAGGCUUAACACAUGCAAGUCGAGGGGCAUCAGUUUGGUUUUGCUUGCAAACCAAAGCUGGCGACCGGCGCACGGGUGAGUAACACGUAUCCAACCUGCCUCAUACUCGGGGAUAGCCUUUCGAAAGAAAGAUUAAUAUCCGAUAGCAUAUAUUUCCCGCAUGGGUUUUAUAUUAAAGAAAUUCGGUAUGAGAUGGGGAUGCGUUCCAUUAGUUUGGG
rnacentral:rRNA from 1 species